rnacentral:rRNA from 1 species
GUGGUGUCACAGAAUCGGAGGCCCCGACUGUUUACUUAAAACACAGACAUCUGCAACGAUUAAUUUCUUUGUAUAGGUGUUGAAUUUUGCCCGAUGCCAUUAAUAUAAGGUCGAUAAGCGCGUGCGUAUUUAUUGAUUGAAAAUCUGGUCAAUGGCGGUCUUAACUAUGAGGAUCCUAAGGUAGCAAAAUUAAUUGUCCAUUAAAUGUGGUCCUGACUGAAUAAAGUAACGAUGGUCUCGCUGUCUCUACAAGUAUCUCAGUGAAAUUGAAUU